GACGAACGCUGGCGGCGUGCUUAACACAUGCAAGUCGAACGGAAAGGCCCUGCUUUUGUGGGGUGCUCGAGUGGCGAACGGGUGAGUAGCACGUAAGUAACCUGCCCUUGACUUUGGGAUAACUUCAGGAAACUGGGGCUAAUACCGGAUAGGAGCUCCUGCUGCAUGGUGGGGGUUGGAAAGUUUCGGCGGUUGGGGAUGGACUCGCGGCUUAUCAGCUUGUUGGUGGGGUAGUGGCUUACCAAGGCUUUGACGGGUAGCCGGCCUGAGAGGGUGACCGGCCACAUUGGGACUGAGAUACGGCCCAGACUCCUACGGGAGGCAGCAGUGGGGAAUAUUGCACAAUGGGCGGAAGCCUGAUGCAGCAACGCCGCGUGCGGGAUGACGGCCUUCGGGUUGUAAACCGCUUUCGCCUGUGACGAAGCGUGAGUGACGGUAAUGGGUAAAGAAGCACCGGCUAACUACGUG
rnacentral:rRNA from 1 species